rnacentral:lncRNA from 1 species
AAAAAAUUACUAACCAUAAAAUAAUUGUCAGGAAAACCCAACCUUCCUAUUGACAGUUUUACCAAAGCAUCAAAAAUAAAUUUGUUUCCAAUAAAGUGCUUGAUCCUUAUGCAUACAUGCAGGGCAACUACUGAAUCUCCAAUCAGUGACCAUGAAUAAUACUUUUGUUUUUUGGCCUUGAACCUAUUGCAUAUGUUCUAGCCACUUCCUCUUCCUGGGGAAACAUUGAUUUUCUUAUGAAAAACAGCUCUCCAAUCAGGAAAUGGUAUGUGCCUUAUUAAGAAAUACUUUGAUCUGAAUGUUUGUGACCCCUCUAAAUUUAUGGGUUGGAAUCCUAACCCCCAAGGUGAUGUAUUAGAAGAUGGAGAUUUGGGGGACAUGAUUUGGUAAUGAGGAUGUAACCCUCAUGAAUAGAAUUAGUAUCCUUAUAAAUGAGGAACCAGAGAACUACCUUGUCCCUUUCACUAUAUGAGGACACAGCUAGAGGACACCUUCUAUGAAUCCGGAAAUGGAUCCUCAACGAGACACUUCAUCAGCAGAUGCCUUAUCUUGGACUUCCCAGCCUCCAGAAUUAUAACAAAUAAAUUUCUGUUGUUUAUAAGCUACCCAGAUUAUGGAGUUUUGUUAUAGUAGCACAGAUGGACUAAGGCAAAGGUAUUUUAGCUUUUUCCAUAUCUUUGUGUUUGUGUAUGUGUGUAUGGCAGACAGAAAUAAAAUGAAUUUGUUAUUAUUCAUCAUAAAGUUAAAAUAUUUUAAGAAUUUAAACUUUUCUACAAAAAUGUAAUUCAAGUUUGUGUGAGAAGAUUUGGGGUAUUGAAGAAAAUAUAAAGAAAAAAUCAUUAAAAAUUAUAUUAUUUAUUAUUUAUUUAUUGUCUCUCUUAGGCUCUCU